rnacentral:rRNA from 1 species
GUGCCAGCCGCCGCGGUAAUACGGAGGAUGCAAGCGUUAUCCGGAAUGAUUGGGCGUAAAGGGUCUGUAGGUGGUGCUGUAAGUCUGCUGUUAAAGAGUCACGCUCAACGUGAUAAAAGCGGUGGAAACUACAGGACUAGAGUGCGGUCGGGGCAGAAGGAAUUCCUGGUGUAGCGGUGAAAUGCGUAGAUAUCAGGAAGAACACCGGUGGCGAAAGCGUUCUGCUAGUCCGCAACUGACACUGAGGGACGAAAGCUAGGGGAGCGAAUGGGAUUAGAUACCCCGGUAGUCC